rnacentral:rRNA from 1 species
UGGAGCCUACAGGGCGCAGCAGUGAGGAAUAUUGGUCAAUGGGAGAGAUCCUGAACCAGCCAAGCCGCGUGAGGGAAGACGGCCCUAUGGGUUGUAAACCUCUUUUGUCGGAGAACAAAACCCGGGACGAGUCCCGGACUGCGUGUAUCCGAAGAAAAAGCAUCGGCUAACUCCGUGCCAGCAGCCGCGGUAAUACGGAGGAUGCGAGCGUUAUCCGGAUUUAUUGGGUUUAAAGU